UACCCAGUUCCAGAUAUUCCUUUUAGACAUAAAUCGAAACAAAGUUAUAACAACAAACUCCUUAGUUAAGAGCACAAGGGGAGAUUUGAUGCAGGAUAUUGUGCUUUGAAAUGUUAUUUCUGCACUCAACCUGCUCAUUUAUAACAGGUAUAACCCCACCUGGUGAAACCAAUGCAUUUUGAGUGUGCUGGGGACCCAGGAAGGUGUUAGUGGCUUUGACCAGCCCCACCUGGUCCCAGGCAUUAUUUAAGCUCAGAACAGGUGGUUCCAGCUUUUUCCAGCAAUGCUGCAGGCAGACAACUUCUCUUCAGGCCCCCUGGACUUACCUCUGGAUUUCUGAGGUUGGUUUUGGAUUUGAUCUGGCUUGAUGAUCCUGAACCUUAAAGGAGCCUGUUACCAUCACCAGCCAUUGCAGGUAUGUGGGUUGGUGAGGUCCCUGCCCACCAGCAUCGCACAGGGUCCCUGCUUACCCUACCUCACUACUGUGGUUCUGCAGGACCCUUUUCACAUGAUGGCCACAGCGCAGUGAGAUGAACCCCUUGACCAAGCAGCUACUGGCACCUAGCUGAACACAAGGUGGCUGACUAAAAAAAUCUGAAUUUUGCUAGCUUGCCUCACACAUGUGACUUAUCUCCAGUUCUCUCGAUGAUAGUGCUAGUAUUGUGGUGACACAAAUAAAGGGAGAAGUACUAAAGAUUCCUCUGCAGUGUACAGAAAUGGCUUCCCUGCUGCAGUGCCAGUCC